CAGAGUUGCAAAACUCCCAAACCAUUGUAAACCUUACCGUUACCGUUGCUUCGGCGGGUGGCUCCCUUCGGGGUGCUGCGCCCUCCCUUCGGGGUCGGCAGCCUGCCAGAGGUAUGUUAAACUCUCGUAUUAAUUGGUAUCUCUGAGUAACUUAUAAAAUAAGUCA
rnacentral:misc_RNA from 1 species